AAAGAUUAAGCCAUGCAUGUCUAAGUAUAAACAAUUUUGUACUGUGAAACUGCGAANGGCUCAUUAUAUCAGUUAUAGUCUACUCGAUAGUACCUUACUACUUGGAUAACCGUAGUAAUUCUAGAGCUAAUACAUGCAUAAAUACCCAACUGCUUGNCGGGCGGGUAGCAUUUAUUANAUUGAAACCAAUGCAGUCUUCGGGCUGGUAUUGUGUUGAGUCAUAAUAACUGUGCGGAUCGCACUUUGUGCGAUAAAUCGAUUGAGUUUCUGCCCUAUCAGCUUUGGAUGGUAGGAUAUGGGCCUACCAUGGCAU
rnacentral:rRNA from 1 species